CCCGCCCCCUCGGGCUGCUGUCGCUCCACCCCAGCCACCCACCAGCCCCGGCGCAAAAUGUCACCUAGGGAGAGCAUCCAGACGUUCACGUUGCAGAGGCUACUACGUCAUCUAUCCAACUUGUCGAAAAGUCUGGCGGUGUCCUCAGCCUAGGUCUUGCCACAACUCCUUUCCCCGUCCUUUGCGAAUGACAAGGAAGGAAUUAGAACCCGUUUCUAAAUGUCGGCGUCCGGGGACGUGCGCCGCGAUAGGUGCGCGCCCCCUUCGCGCUCUCGGCGCAUCUCUGUGCACAUCCCAAAGGGCUGGAGUGGUGAAAGGUGUCCUUGCGAGGAGUCGGUGAUGUGAUGCUGAGAUUAGGAAACUGUCGUGGCCAACCGGGUUGUUUUUCGUGCACCCCGCCCCCCAGUCAUUAGGAAUCUUCCUUAAAACCGAACAGACACCGUUUCGAACCACUAGAUGGCGUGAAGGGAGGGAAGUUAAAUCUAUCCCUAAGGUUUGGAUGCUUUAGAAAGGUGAAGGAUCAAAAAUGAAGGGAGCCUGCAGGGAAUCAGCUCACAGAAAUAUCCUCAAAUCCCCGACUCCCCACCCAUUUUUCUAGCAAUUAGAUCUAUUACUCAGGCUCGAGUCUGCAUUUUGAUGAAAAUGGAAUGAGAUGUGGAAAGUUUCUUGUGGAAAUGCCUUUGAAAAUUAAAUGUAGAUGACUGAAUAAUUUUAAUUAUUGUUAUAAUAAAGGCCUUUGGAAAUUUUGAUUAAGAAAAGAUGUCUAAUUUCUACCUGAAAAUUACCUCUUCAAGACUUGUUGACUGUACUUGGUGGAUAAACUAAGUGGACUGAAAUGUAUAAUCUUGAAUUGAAUUGACUUCCAAGCCCUGGAGAUAAUAGAGACAGAAUCCCGCAGAUGAUGAAGAUUAUGUGCAUAGAAUCCAGCAGAACAUUCUAUAUGUUUCCCUUGCCCAGGGAUUUCUCUUCUUCUUUCUGGAGUUCUCAUUUUGUACACCCUGCUUGGUUGGUAGAAAAUAAAUUCGGCAAGAUCAAAA